AGGAUAGCCAAGUGAAGCCAAUGGCUUCAACCACUAAGAUAUAUAUAUAUAUAUAUAUAUAUAUAUAUAUAUAUAUAUAUAUAUAUGUGUGUGUGUGUGUGUGUGUGUGUGUGUGUGUGUGUGUGUGUGUGCCAAAUCUGUGACCUCCAGGGUUGCUACUCUGCUGCCAU